rnacentral:tRNA from 1 species
AAGGAUUUAAGUUAAAUUAAACUAUUAACCUUCAAAGUUAAAAAUAUAAGUAUUUUAUAAGCCUUA